rnacentral:ncRNA from 1 species
AAGGCCUGAUGUGUGUGAGAUUACCCGCUGAAUUUAAGCAUAUAAGUAAGCGGAGGAAAAGAAACUAACUAGGAUUCCCUUAGUAAUGGCGAAUGAACAGGGAUCAGCUCAGUGCCAAAUCGGAAUCACUUGUGGUUCUGAAAUGUGGCUUGAAGGCAGUACCAGUGGCAUCGCGGACGAAAGUCUCUUGGAAAAGAGCGUCAUAGAGGGUGAGAAUCCCGUGAGUCGUUCGCCGUUUGUCACGUACGGUCUGCGUUCUAACGAGUCGCGUUCCUUGGGAUUGGAGCGUAAACGGGUGGUAAAUUUCAUCCAAAGCAAAAUAUAUACUCGAGACCGAUAGCACAAAAGUACCGUGAGGGAAAGGUGAAAAGAACUUUGAGAAGAGGGUUAAAUAGUGCCUGAAUCGUUGAGAAGAAGCGGAUGCCGCCGUUGCAUAUGCUGAUUGUAGAUGCUGCUCGCUCCUGUCUCUGCUACUCAUCACAGACCUGGUCGUGUUGAGCAGUUGUUUGGCAGAUGUUAG